GGGGGAGCGCCAGGCCUCUGUGAUUGAAGUGGAACCAAUGAUUCCUGAUGAGGAUGACAGUCAGAGUCAUCUGACAGAACACACGCACCGAGAAACGUGCGAGCACCUGGAGGCAUACAGCGGCGUCACUGUGACAGCAAUGGCAAGUCAAAGUACUAAAAGAAGUAAGCGGAUAAAUCGCAAAAUACCAUCUAAAUAUAGUUCUGAUGUAUAUGGUGAGUUUUAAAGCUUUACCAGGUGUGUAAAUUUAACAUUCAGCAUUACGUGCACGUGGCAGAGGCCGACUUGUACUGCUAGCCUUUUAUUGCAACAAAACGUAUGGAAGAUUGUUUCCACCACUAAAUAAAAAAUAAUAAUAAUAAUUAAAAGUAACAGUAUUUAAUUUCCCAGAAUUUGGAACUUUUUUCUCAGAAUUGCGAGUUAGAAUUGUGUGACGUAGGCCUAAAGUCGCCAUUUUUUACUUGCAACUGUGAGUUAUCACGAUUGAUUGCUUUUUUUUUUUCAAAAUUGCGAGAUGAUAAUUUGUUAUAAAGUCAGAAUUGCAUGAUAAAAAGUCACAAUUGAAUAAAUUCAGAAUUGUGAGCUAUUAACUUGAAAAUCUGAGAAAAAAAGUCAGUUUUCCACCCUCAUACGUGGACACUAUAACAAGCACAUGCAUCCUUAUAUUUACCAAUUCUGUAUUUAACUGUGUUUAUCUGUAUUUAGUGUUUAUAGUUUAAUAAAAACAUUUUACGCUAGGCCUAUCAAUUGUAAUGUCUUCCUUUCCACGGUUAUUCUAACAACAAAUAAAUCACGAAAUGAUUCAGUGUUUUGUAGUGCUGUACAUGUGUAUGUAUGUCUUUGCCACCCCCUUAUCCUACUCUCUAUACUCCUCAGAGAUUCCAGUCCGCAAACCUGCUCAGGAGGAGGUGAAGAAUGAUGUGCAAGAAGAGGCUCCAACUGCCCAUAUAACUCUUUCCAAAACAAAACAAACAGUUGAGAUGCUGAAAGAGAAGAUCCAUGCUCUGGAGGAAAAAGUGGAGUCUUUGACUGAAGAGAGAAACUUUCUCAGAGAGAGACUGGAAGAUGCCCUUAAACUGAAAACUGAAGUUCCAGAACAGUCCCAGAAUCCUACAGCAUCCCAGAUGGAGUCAUCUGAAGAUACAACAUCUUCUGACUCCAGCUCUGAUUCAUCUGAGCCUUCACGAAAGAAGUAUAAAAAGAAACCAAAAAAGAAGAAAUCAAAGAAAGCACGGGCCUGUGAUUUCAAAAGAGUAAAAACACCUGAGGAGUCUGUUUGUCGGUACCAGAAAGUCCUACGGCUUGUUAAAAGUGGCUCAACAAAGGCGGAUGCCUAUAACAGUGUGGGGGUGGACCGCAACACCAUUGUGAACCAAGCACCAAUUGCAGAGCUGGCUGCUGUUAGCCCUGACAUAUUCAAGAUCCUGAGGGCUGGUUUCAAAAAAGGGGACAGUCUGCUAAAAUUUGCAGAAAAAUGUAUGGCUCAAUGCAUCUUAGAGCCAAAUGCAAGUCAGAUCAGAGCUAUGAAAGAAGCCAGUGGUCUGCUGGACAUUCUAAAAAAGUAAAUGUUCAUCAGUAUAUUUUAGUGUUGUUACUUAAGAAUGCAUUUGGUCUUAGUGUUAGUAAAGCAGAAUUUAAAAUAGUCCAUGAAACAGGACAAUAACCUGUUAGAAAAAAGUUGUUACAUUUACAGUAUACACGUUUCUCAUAGUUCUAAGAACAUUUUAAGCAGUGUUGUUACUGUUAUGACUGCUUUUGUUGUACUAAUAAAAAAAUAGAAUAAUCAUCUUUCCCCUUUUAUAUUUAAGUUUUUCUCUUUAGUACAGCUCAGCUAAUGAGCUAGAUUUUUUUGUUUUUGUUUUUAAGCUAAUGGAUGUCAUAGAAAGGGGAGUAUUUAAUUUUAUGUUUUGUAAAUGUUUUAAUGAUUUGUUUUAAUGUAUGUGUUAUGGAAACAUGUUUCUUAAGCACUGUACAUGUGUAAAGUGUUACAAGUGUACACACUUUACAAGUGUUUAAUCUUGGUUUAAUAAAUGCGUUUAAUAAAUGGCUUUUAUAAACUCUAGUGAUGGUCAUUAAUUAAUCAUUAGCUGAUGGUUUGUGAAUAUAUCAUUAUGUUGUGACUUUACUUGUUGAGGCACAUCAUCAUUAACUCAUCAUUUAGUAAAUGUAGUAAUUUACACAUGAAUUUGCACAAAUAAUGCAGUAAUUAAUCAUGUAUUAAUGCAUAUUGCUUUACCUGUUUUGCCUGGAAGUUGAAAUACAAGGCUUUGCCUCACUGUGGUAGUUAACAAGUUAAUUAACACUAUUAGUUAAAGAAAUAAGUUAUUAGGGAAUUAAUCCAUAAUCACAUAUUUAAUUAAUAACAAUUCAUGUAUGAACUAAUAUAUUAACCAGACUGACUCAUUCUUAGUUGAUAAUGUGGCAAUCAUUAACGAAUAGCUUAGAUAAUCAUGAGUUAUACAUUAAUUCAGUAUCAUCUGUGCAUUAGUUAAGCAUGAAUUAAUGCUUAUUAGUGCACACGUAUUGUAAAGUGUUACCGCUUUGUUUGAGGCACUUAUUUGAAAGUAAACUAUAUAAGUAGAAUUGAAAGUUCUGCUUUAUUUACUUUCUGUAAGUCAUCUGCACUUUUAGAAAAUUUCUAAUUACAAAGUCUUUACACAUUUGUCGUUAAUUUAUUUGUUGUUUUCUGUAGAGUGUGCUCUGCUGUUCAGUUACUUGAAUGAGUUUCUAAUUAUUGCAGCAUCAACAAUUUCAGAAAUAGACACCCCAAUGGCAAAAAACAAAUGUGGGUGAUUGCUCUAGCAUCAAGUAUACGGUUUCUUGCUGUCCAAGUAGGUCUUCUUUACCCAAAUAAGAUGCAAAAUUAACUAGACUUAGUCAAUAAGCAAGCCCAUAGUUAAAUGUAAUAGCUAAAUCUGUGGUUCUCAAACAUAGUGGUAACUGGUGACCAAAUUAUUUAUCAUACAAAACAAAGUACUGUAUACACCUAAAAUGAAAAACUGAAAUUUAUUAACGGGAUAGUUCACCCAAAAAAUAAAAUUCUGUCAUAAUUUACUCAUGACAUUAAGUCAUGGCUGGGCAAUGCAUCAAAUAUAUAUUUUUGCAAUAGCUUUGCUGAUAGCAUAAAAUUAGGGAAUAUCAUAUAUAUCAUGAUAAUGUUAACAGAUUAACUCAUAGACAGGAUGCCAAUUUCACUAAGAACAUUAUUAAUUUUCAGGACUGAAUCCAAAAAUACAAUGCCUGACAGUGAAAACCAUAGCAACGGACGGAACAAAAAAAUCUGAUGCUGUCAAAAUAGAUAUAUGUAUUAAGUCUUGGAGUGACAGCACAAACAAACAGACCUGCCAAGUGCGAUAUAUAAUGUGUAAUGUGUUUCUUUGUGCUUCAAAGAUCUUGCUUUGUUGUGCAACAAACCUCAACUUUUAGUAGGAAGAUUACACUUUGUGUAUAAUUUCCAUAUUUUUUAUAUUUCAUAUG
ensembl:lncRNA